rnacentral:lncRNA from 1 species
GAUAUAUAAUAUUCCUUAGCAAUCAUAUCGUUUAAAUAUUAAAACUGAAAGACAUUCUUCCUCACAAAGUUGUGGACCAGGGUACCCAAAUUCAUGAAUAUACAGGGGGUUUUAUUUCCAAAUAAUCUAAUAGUUAAGUUUACUUAAUUAGUAUAUGACAUGAGAGAGCUUGAUGCCGACAAAUUCUUAAUGAUCACUUUGGAUUUAUUAUUAAAGAAAUAAUAGGUGAAGAUGUAAUUAUUUCUUAGAAAGGAGUCAAGGAGUAAGGACAACCAAAAAGCAGCAUAUAUAUACAGUUAUAAUAUCUUGGGCCCUAAUAUCUUUUGUUUUAAUGCCGAAAGAUUAUAUUCCCUCUGUUCUUAAAUAUAUGGUGUUUAGAAUAGUUUUUAUGUUCCA